UGGACCCUCAACAUCCACUGACCUCUCCAAUGCUCAGCUUGCUAGAAAUGCCCUCUGGAUGUGUCCACAGCUGCCACCCCUCCUCUCUCUAGUCACCUCGAGAGUCUGCUUCUGCAGGAGCCCCCACUCUACCGUGCAUCUCCAUCCUUGCUCAGCCUGGCCCAGCCCGGCCGGGCAGUGAAUGCUUGAGGGAAGCGUCUGGUCCAGAAGCAGAACACGAGCAACCUGGAGGCAGCCUGGACUCGAAUUCCAGCUCCACCUUUUUCUUAAUGUGUGACUCUGGAUAUGCCUUCCCCAGAACUCUAGCCCCACAGGGCCGGGAGCCUCCUGGAGCCACCUCUGCAGAGCACAGAGGGUCCAAGGGACACUAGCCCAUGGUUCUACUGCUGGCACCACCUAUGCUCACAUCCCCCUGCAGGAAGCUGAGGCAUGGCCAAGAGAAGCGCCUCCAAUCCCUCCGAGGCAAAUCCAGUGCGUCCUCGCCACUCCCAAAGCAGGUUGCAUGUGGACCUCUAUCCCAGCUCACAGGCCAUUCUGUGUGGAGCCUGGCAAGCUGCAGACAUGCCUGUGAACUGGGCAGCCACACAGGACCCUGAACUCCACGGCGACCUCUGCAGCCUGAGCCUCCUCACCUGUGUGGGGGCAGGGCACAGCAAAGGACAUGGAAACACUUCAUAGCCUGAGACCCCUGUCCCAGUGGGAAGGAUGAACGUGACUCGCGACUUCUGUAAGACAUGAAUGGACAUUCUAUAAAACUGAGUGAAGAGUCUACAAGCCUACCAAAGGAGGAAGAAGGGGUCUGAGGAGACCACACACCCUCCAAGCCCGUUGGUGACCGAGAUGUGCCCUCUCUGCACAGUAACCUGACACUGCUCCGCCUGGAGACUUGAGGUGUGGCCCCGACUCCAUUGGCUCCCAGGGAUGGGAGCUGCCUCCAGACGGGUGGGCAUGGGCCUGGGCAGCCCUCUGACACCUGCAGGGGAUACGGCAGAGGUGUUCACAAGGCCACCUUCCCCUCCGAGUGUGCCCUCCGGCUGGACACACAGGUAGUGAGCGCCAGAAACCUGCUGAAUACGACACCUCAGUGGUCCUGGGGCAGGUUACCACCAUCCCGUGCUCUCGGCUCCGGGAGCUCCCCUCUUCCAUCAGGUCCUGUGCCUCCAGCCUUCUCCCCUCCAACCUCAGAGGCCAGAGCCUGGGCCGCCUCCAGGCAACCGAGCGGCCCCUCUUUUGGCACCAGUGCUCCACCUGUGGCACUUACCCACGCUCACCUUUUAUUCACAUUCAGCUUCCAAAUAAAGUCAGCAGCCAAGCUCUCUCCUGACUAGCACAGGUAGAAAGACACCCUCUCCACCAUGUGCAGUACUUGGUGCCUUGUUUUCCCAAUCUGCUUAUAUUUAAGAGACAAUGUCUAAUGAAAUCUGGAAUUCAUAUACCCUGUGACCCGCCCACUCCACUUGUAGGACCUCGUGCCUCAGCUGUGCUCAUCCCAGGCACGUCCCACUGUGGGCCGAGGACAACCCAGAUGCUCAUCAAUAGACGAACAGUCACAAUCCCAAUGUGGAUUAAAUAACAGUAGCAUGCUCUCGUGUUCAAAAUGUCACACUGAGGCAGAACUAGAUAUCUUAAAAACAGCAAUUUGCAGAACUGUGUCCCAUCAUGGGGCUCUCAGCACUGGCUGAACACUAAAAUUACCUGUGAAGUCAAAAGAAACAAACACGGGCCGGCCCG